UACGGGGGAGCUAGUGUUACUUAUCUUAACUGGGCGUAAAGGGUUCGUAGUUGUCUAAAAAAUUCGAAUAAAGAAAAGUUUAAAAGCCCAACUUUAGAUCUUUUGAGAAAAAUUUUAUGACUUGAGUUUAACAAAGGAUAACAGAAUUCUUAGAGAAGGAGUGAAACCCAUCGAUACUAAUGAAGACUACCGACAGGUGAAGACGGGUUAUCUGUGGGAGACGUGACACUAAUGGACGAAAGCAUAGGGAGCAAACAGGUAUUAGAGUACC
rnacentral:rRNA from 1 species